ACAGAUUCGUCAAAGUGAAGUUUAGUUCUGUCGAUUAUGUAGGAACUGUCACUAACAUUAAAUAAGAAUAAAAAGAUUAGUCAAAGAGAAGUUCAGUUCUGUGGAUUAUGUACGAAUUGGUAUUAACAUUAAAGAAGAAAGAACUGUGCUACACGUCUUUUCCAGUUUUCCCUUUGUAUCUCCGAGGGUCCUCUGAGAAUGUACUUUAUGGAGGUUUAAAGGGAUCUUCAAAUCCAAAAAAAAACCUGGUCGUGAAAGUCAAGAUCUUGUGUAUACCAACUAAAGUUAAGUCUUUGGCCUAGUAUUUGAGGUAAUCCAUUGUAUAUUGUAUAGUUCCCGCUUGUGGUAAUAUACAUCUAAGGAUGGCGUUGGCAUUCGUAUUUUUAAGUUGACUGAAGAAGGGCAUAUGAUGCCCGAAACGUGUGUG